rnacentral:rRNA from 1 species
UACGUAGGGUGCAAGCGUUGUCCGGAAUUAUUGGGCGUAAAGAGCUCGUAGGCGGUCUGUCGCGUCGGCUGUGAAAACUCGGGGCUCAACCCCGAGCCUGCAGUCGAUACGGGCAGACUAGAGUCCGGCAGGGGAGACUGGAAUUCCUGGUGUAGCGGUGAAAUGCGCAGAUAUCAAGGAGGAACACCGGUGGCGAAGGCGGGUCUCUGGGCCGGAACUGACGCUGAGGAGCGAAAGCGUGGGGAGCGAACAGG